AAAUUGAAGAGUUUGAUCAUGGCUCAGAUUGAACGCUGGCGGCAGGCCUAACACAUGCAAGUCGAACGGUAACAGGAAGCAGCUUGCUGUUUCGCUGACGAGUGGCGGACGGGUGAGUAAUGUCUGGGAAACUGCCUGAUGGAGGGGGAUAACUACUGGAAACGGUGGCUAAUACCGCAUAACGUCGCAAGACCAAAGAGGGGGACCUUCGGGCCUCUUG
rnacentral:rRNA from 8 species